rnacentral:ncRNA from 1 species
UUAAAAGCGUUGAAAAGGAAAAGUAAAUGAGAUGUAGUUUGAUAGAGAGCUUCUGACGGUGGAAAUGAAGCAAACGAACCUUAUUGAAAAUGACCUUUGAGCUGCGUACCGAAACAGAAAUGUUGUAGGCUACGACGAGGGGCACUCGUUACAACAGCGACAGUAUGAACACGUACUGAUUAAGGCAAAUAGUGUGAGCUAUUUGUAAAUUUAGGUGGUAACACGGGUAUCUCGUCCUAAUC